rnacentral:lncRNA from 1 species
UAGGAGCAGGAGCGCUGGGGGAAUUUUUCUCAAUGGAAAGAUUUCUUCCCAGCAAGUGUUUCACAAGCCCCUCCUGGGCUGUUGAUAAUGAAUGUUGCCUUCUUGACUUCCAAGUGUGUUACAUAAGCCUAAGAGGUUGGUUUUAAAAAAAAAAAAAAGCAAGUAUGUAGCUGGAGAUAGCGGCCCGGCAGGUUCUGCAGCUGUUCAAACUUUCGCCACCUUCCCAGGCCCAGAGGACUCCCUGAUCUCGGGCCUGUCAGAACUGUGCUGCGGAAUGUGAGGGACGCUGAUGAUGGAGGGUCCGUCUCCAGCCACACCUCCACCAUCCUGGAGACCAGACCCAGGGGCUGGUUCUCACACCUUCUGCUCACCGGACACCUGAAUCCUUGUGCUCGUGUUUCAUCGGCUAAGCAAGUCACGUGGCCACAGCUGACGUCAAGAGGGAUAAGGUCACUUCGACCUUUUGCCCAGAGAGCAGAGAGCUGGAACUCAUUAGUCUCCAACCUCCCAGACGAGAAGACCUCAUUUCUGGUCCCCUCCUCUGCCACCGGCUGACUCUGACUCUCGAAGUUCCUCUCACGUCUCUGCCCCUAGUUCCCCACCUGUAGAAACGAGGCAUGUUUUCUAGAUUCCUCUCAAGCCUGGGAGUGGCACCACCGUUGUGGACCCCACUUUUCCCAACAGAGGACGAUGAUUUUAUUUCCACUGCGCAUCCAUGGCGCAGAGACAGGGUGUCACUCAGGCCGGGCAGCUCACUUCAGGCCCCAGCUGCCUAGACUGAGUGCCUGAGUCCUCCCCAAACUCGUAUGCUGGAGCCCUCCCCUUCAAGGUGAUGGCAUUAGGGGUGGGGCCUUGGGGAGGUCAUCAGGGGUACAUGAGGUCAUGAGGGUGGGGCCCCCACCGUGGGAUCAGUGCCCUCAUAGAUGAGGAGGAGACAGCAGCUCACUCUCUGUGUGCAUACACCAAGAACGGUCACGUGAGGACCUAACCAGGAACAGGCCGUCCCUGAGAAUUGAACCCCAUCAGUACCUGGAUCUUGGACUUCCAGCCUCCAGAACUGCAAGAAAUAAAUAUUGGUUGUUUAACCCCCCGUCUACA